GAUAACAAGGCUCUGGGACCAUGCUAAAACUCGGAGUUCCAUUGUAGCGAUUGUUGGAGAGGAUCAUAUAUAUGGCAUGCGCCAUUAUUGGAGAUUGAUGGAACUCGGUUCCUCAAGAGUACUUAAAGAGGCUGCGAAAUAUGAAGAAUACAUAAGACAACAUCAGCCGCCUACUCAGUUGAACCAUUUUUAACAAGAGCUUCAUAUGAAGAAUACAUUAGACAACAUGCUUUGACUGCACAAUGAAAUGGUAUUUUUUUCUUUUUUGGUAACAAUGAAAUGGUAUUUCUUGAAGUACAAAA